UCUGAACUCACUGUGUUUCUGGUAAUGC
rnacentral:sRNA from 1 species